UGAUGAAAUACAGUCUAACUUUGAAUGACCCUUAAUCCCUGAGCGGCUGUCAUAUGAGGAGGCGAAGGACAACAAUUGGGACACAACCAAUGACUUAAUGACAUGAUGGCCUCUGUAAACACAUGAACCCGGGUCAAGGUCUCUAGAAACACUUUGUCAGCCUGAGUUUCAGUCAUGGCUUUAAAAGUUUUAGAGCACGGAGCUUUUUUGACCUAAGCAUUAUCUAUUUCAGGCUGAACUUUGAAGCAGUGAGUGAGAACAGUCACUCCAUGCAGCUGACAAAACUCUGAGCAGGAAAAUAUUCCCUCAUGGACUCCAACACAGGUGGCAGUGUGCAGUAUGACCGCUGGAAUGAGGACAUAGAUAUGAACGUAGCAGCCUCACAGCCUGCUACGACAAGGUUCUACAAAAAAGUUUGUGAGGGCAACAGUGGAAUAGCAGUGAAGACGGCAGGAGCCCUGGCUGCACUGGUUUCAGUUUACAUCAUUGGUUU